UACGUAGGGUGCAAGCGUUGUCCGGAAUUAUUGGGCGUAAAGGGCUCGUAGGCGGUCCAUCGCGUCGGGAGUGAAAAGCUGGGGCUUAACCCCAGUCCUGCUUCCGAUACGGGUGGACUAGAGGUAGGUAGGGGAGAUCGGAAUUCCUGGUGUAGCGGUGAAAUGCGCAGAGAUCCGGAAGAACACCGGUGGCGAAGGCGGCCUGCUGGGCAGUUGCUGACACUGAGGCGCGACAGCGUGGGGAGCAAACAGG
rnacentral:rRNA from 1 species